rnacentral:rRNA from 1 species
GACGAACGCUGGCGGCGUGCUUAACACAUGCAAGUCGAACGGAAAGGCCCUGCUUUUGUGGGGUGCUCGAGUGGCGAACGGGUGAGUAACCCGUGAGUAACCUGCCCUUGACUUUGGGAUAACUUCAGGAAACUGGGUCUAAUACCAGAUCAGAGCUCCUGUUUGAUGGUGGGGGGUGGAAAGUUUCGGCGGUGGGGGAUGGUCUCGCGGCUGAUCAGCUUGUUGGUGGGGUAGUGGCUUACCAAGGCUUUGAUGGGUAGCCGGCCUGAGAGGGUGAACGGCCACAUGGGGACUGAGACACGGCCCAUACUCCUACGGGAGGCAGCAGUGGGGAAUAUUGCACAAUGGGCGGAAGCCUGAUGCAGGAACGCCGGGUGGGGGAAGACGGCUUUCGGGUAGUAAACGGGUUUUGCGUGGGAAGAAGCGUGAGGGCCGGAAAUGGAGAAGGAAGCACCGCCAAACUACUG